CAGAUAUUACUGACGUUCUUCAUUGGGUUCUCAGUUCUUCAAACAGCUGACAGCAUGUGGCAGUUGGAAGAAGAAUCAAACAGAUCCCCUUUUCCUUCCAUUCCUAUAAAGUUAUGCAGAGUCUCACAGCUCACCAUAGGCCUAAGCAGAUCAUAAGGAGCUACCCUGGACAGUUUGGGAUCCCAUCCAGUAUGUUAAGAACCACCAAUGAAGUGCGUCCCUCAAGGGCAAAGUUGGAACAGAUGGGCACGUAUGAGCCAACCUUUAGAAUGAUGAUCCAGCCUUGUACGGAAGGUCAUUGACUGGCUGCAGAGAUCCGUCAGAUGCAGGUCUGAUAUAACGUUAACCAGUGGAUAUCAGUCAGGCUGUAAUGGAGAUAUAGACCAUGAAUAUUAAUGGCGAAUAAUGAACUUUACCUUUACCCAUGGCUUUCCAACCCCUAUCUAUUUAAACUACCAUAGCUGGGAUCCAUUCCAACCCCAUGCUUGAUUCUUAACAAGAUCAUAUCGGCUGUUGAUAUGUUCCCGAGCAGGCUCUGCAUUGUAUUGUGAGUGGGUGGAUAAGUGACCAUUAAAGGGGUUGCUUACAACA